UACAGAGGUCCCAAGCGUUGUUCGGAUUCAUUGGGCGUAAAGGGUGCGUAGGUGGCUUGAAAAGUUUGAUGUGAAAGCUCAGGGCUUAACCCUGAAAUGGCAUUGAAUACUGUCGAGCUGGAGGUUUGGAGGGGGGACUGGAAUUCUUGGUGUAGCAGUGAAAUGCGUAGAUAUCAAGAGGAACACCAGUGGCGAAGGCGAGUCCCUGGACAACACCUGACACUGAGGCACGAAAGCUAGGGGAGCAAACAGG
rnacentral:rRNA from 1 species